rnacentral:rRNA from 2 species
UACAGAGGUCUCGAGCGUUAGUCGGAUUCAUUGGGCUUAAAGCGUACGUAGGCGGAUAUGCAGGCGUCGUGUGAAAGCCCUCGGCUCAACCGAGGAAUUGCACGGCGAACCGCAUGUCUUGAGAUCGGUAGGGGCGGUCGGAACGAUAGGUGGAGUGGUGAAAUGCGUUGAUAUCUAUCGGAACGCCGAAGGUGAAAACAGGCCGCUGGGCCGAUUCUGACGCUGAGGUACGAAAGCGUGGGGAGCAAAC